rnacentral:rRNA from 1 species
UACGAAGGGGGCUAGCGUUGUUCGGAAUUACUGGGCGUAAAGCGCGCGCAGGCGGCUAUCCAAGUCAGUGGUGAAAGCCCGGAGCUCAACUCCGGAACUGCCAUUGAAACUGUUUAGCUUGAGGACGAGAGAGGUGAGUGGAAUUCCCAGUGUAGAGGUGAAAUUCGUAGAUAUUGGGAAGAACACCGGUGGCGAAGGCGGCUCACUGGCUCGUUUCUGACGCUCAGGCGCGACAGCGUGGGGAUCAAACCGG